GGCUCCAGCUCGGCCGGACAAGCUGCAGCCGGAAGGAGGAGAAAGACACUCCUGCAUGAUCUGUCUCCUGUGACUCCUCCACUCCUUCACAGAUGGGCAGAGAGACUGGAAUGUGGAGAAAGACGCAGAGGGGAAACGAGCUGUAAACCGGGUUUACAGGUGAUUAUACUUGAACAGAAGUGACUGCAGAUGUGUUGACAAGGCAAUCCACCUGGGAAAAAGGAGUCUGCGCCCUGAGGGGAGCCAUGCUGUGGUAACAACCGGGAAACUCUUGUGAUUUGUCACCGUGAUUUAUCUUUGUUGUUAGGUGCUGAAGGUAUAACAAUGAAGUGCCUCGUGAUUUCUAAUCUGAUUUUUUUUUUUUUUAACCACUGAAUGAUGCCGCGCUAAGAUUUUAAGAGAUGCUUGAUUACAUAACCCUCUUGUUGCAACAGAUGAUUUACAGCAGCGAUAUGCGUGUGAACAUAACUUGUGUGCGGAUAGGCAUGUGUGGGGAUUGUGAUGUAGUGUCUCUGAUGCAGAACUGGAUCCAUCCUCGCUCGGAUGUCGCUGCAGCUGCAGACAUCGUUUUUCAUAUCGGACCUGCAUGCUGGCAGCCUGCCCGACACCCUCUCUCCUGCCCCGCUUUCUCUUCCCCUCCCUCUUUUCACCUCCUCUCACCUCUCCUUACACUUCUCUCCUCCCUCCCUUGCGUACACAAACACGCCUCUCCUCCGUCGUCUCGUUGCCUCUGAUCUGCCUGAGUGGUGCAGUGAUCUCUGGCCGAAAAGACCAAAAAGAUUUUCAAUCACUGCCGCUCACAUUCGGCCAGAAAUCACGACAAGAACCAAGUGCUGCGAGUGUGAGAGUGUGUCCUCAGAUUUUCCUCCUAUUAGUCAGUAUGAGAGUCCAGCUGCAAAUUGCUGCACAGGAAGUGGUUCUUACAACGAUUUAGUUCAGACAAGAGGAGAGGAACAUUUACACAGUCGCUCACCCCCACGGCCAUACCACACUCAUGAGUAUCCCUCUGUGAUGACAUUAAUUCCUGGCACUCUUAUCUUGUGCAAAGCUUAAGCACAAGUUCCAACCUCAAACUAACCUAAAAUGCCAAAUCCGUCCUUGUGAGAAUGUUUAGAACAACUGUGAAAAUCUUGCUGGUUUUGCAUCUAUGGUGAUGUCUCAUUUGGACCUCGUAAAUACAGAAACAGAUGAGUACACACACGCCCAGACACACACAAACACACACUAAUCCAGGCAUGACGCAACCCUCUAAGCAACUGUAUGUCAUCAUCAGCGAGACGUCCUCUGGGAGGGAGCGACCCAGUAUAAUACGCUGUGUUUGAAUGAUGUCUCUCUACUAUACGUAGUAACAGUACAGCUAGUAAACACAGACUGACCUAUAUCACCACCGUGGGGUAUUGGAGUCUGGUUAAAGAUUACGUUGUUUGAUAAGCCACCUCUGUUUAUCAGUUAUGUAACAGGACUCUGCCGUGGCUCUGAAUUAUACAGGGCAGCUCCCGCACAGUGGAAAGUGUUUCAAUAUGUUCCUGUUAGUCCUUUUCUAACGUCAGCAUUAAGCCAUUCACUAAUUAUAGAGAUUUUUUUCGCUACUGCUGCUGCUUGAGGAUAUUAACAUUCUAGUUCAGAGAGCUGCCUUUUCUCGUACAACAAGGUGUGUACCUUAGACUGUGUGUAAAAGAUGGAUGUAGCCACUGUGACGUCACCCCCUGGUUUGUGGACAACGGUUUUGAAGCCUCGAGUUUGGAAUUUGGAAGUCACCAUCUCGGUCUUAUGAAACUGGGGCAAAGGGUGGAGAACUUGAAGACAUUUGUACAUACAGUACAGACAGUAGCCUCAUGUCAAUCACAAGAUAGCCACAUUUUAAAACACACCCUGCUUUACUGUCAAUUUUACUCUAAAUGAAAACAGAAUUUAUAAAAUGAACAUCAGGCUGCAUUGGAAAGGACUUCAAACUAGCGAUUGAAACCAUUAACCCAUUAGGAAAAUGUUUACUGAGGUAAUAAAUCAAGUGAGAAGUAGUGUCACUUUUUUCAUAAACGAUGCAAUUGGGCUUUUUUUGCAAACCAGUGGAGUCCCACCUGCUGGCUGUUAGAAAGAAUGCAGGUUUAAGUCAGGUCCACAUUGACUUUAUUGGUUUGGAUCCAGAGGUUAUGUUCAUCUUUACAGUCUAUGCUUUGUUUACAACAUCAACAUGUUAAUAAUCAUAUGUUAGCAGUAUAUUUGUACUCAUUGUUCUAGUCAAUUUGCAUACUUAAAUCUAAUAAUAAUCAUUUUUUAGCUUGUUGUAACAAAACAUGUCACACAGUAACCACUGUAUGUACAUAUAGAAUUUGUUAAACCUUCAUGAGAUUGAGAGUUGUUACUACUUUCAGAAAGGUUCUGAAGCAAUAAUACCUCAACUUGUAGCCUGCGUUAGGCCCAGUGUUAUAUUUUGUGUGCCUGCAAGUAUGUUGAUGCCAGCAAGGGUCCAUGUGACGAAUAUUUGUUCAUCUUGCCAAGUCCAUGAGAGUCUGUAUAGACCUGUCAGUGGACGUCCGCUUGCAGCCAAAAAUUGCACCUGUAUGGACUGUCCACACAGUAACUACGCUAUGACCUGCUGCACAUGUACGCAAUCGAGUCUACCCAUCGCAACUACAAAAAUUAUACUAUAGCAGCAAUUAUGUCAACAUGCGCUUGUGCUCAUAGGUGUCUAUGUCACAGUUAAAUCAGGGCUUUACUUAAAGCUGCAACAACUGAUUUUUUUAGCCACUUGGGGGCAGCAAAACUAGUCAUAAACACAGCAUUGACAUAUAACACAUUGCCAUUGUUCAUCUGGAAUUUUGCUUUCAAGCAUCUGGCGAUAAAAUGCUCAUUCACUAUUAGCUCUUUUUUGGUCCCCACCAAUCCUUCAACACCACUUAUUAGAACAGUAUUUAGCUUUUUUGCAGCUACAUGCUCAUCUACUGAGUUGGUAACAUUUUCUGCUGCUUAGCGUUGGGCUGGAUGAUAUUUUUGGCUUGUUGUCUGUCUGUGUAGUUACACAUUGUGGGUUUUUCUUUCUUUUUUUAAAUCUAAAAAUGCUUUGCUUUGAUAUUCAAAACCACUACAAAAAAAGUCACAAAACUGUAUCCAUAGAAACAGAUAUUAGAAAACGACACAGAUUAAAAGAAUAGUUCCUCAGAGCAGUACAUUUAAAUAAUCACUAAUUAUAGCUGUGGCAGCUCCUGCUUUGACUCCCCCACCUCCCAACCCUCUAAAUGCUACUCCAGACACUUACUUUGAUGUGUUUCGGGUCAAAGUGUUUAACAUUUACCUCCAGACAAUAGCUCUAUUGUUCAAAGAUACGUGAGAAGUUUUUGUUGUAUAAUGAAGCUCAUUUACCAUCAAUGACUGUGUGUGUGGAUCCUUCACUCGGUGACUAAUACCAUGACAGGUGGUGCACAUACAUACUUUACUGAUAUUUGAUCUGUGUGGCUGUCUCUCCCUCGGACACACACACACACACACACACACACACACACGCCAUAAACCAACCAGCUGAGAAAUUAGGUCUGUAAAUACAUGUGUAUGAAGUGGAAGAGGAGAGGUGAGAGAGGGUUAAAAACGGAAGCAGAAAGGAACAAUUUGAGUCUUGCAUAAAGGUGCUUAAUAUUUCAGGUUGGUAUGCACAGUGUGAGAUGAAUGAAAGAGUGGAUGGAUGGAGGGAUGGAUGGAUGGAUGGAGGGAUGGAUGGAGGCCUGCCACUGCAGGAGCAGUGACGUCAGCCUUGUAAACUAAGGACUUAAUCCUCUGGAGGUCUGACCUGCUCCUCAGUGUGCUGUCCUGACAUCUAGUGUUCAGAUGCUGGAACAACACACUGUUCCUCAGCAUCCUGAGGAUUUGCUAUCCUUUAGUACGUUUAACAAUCUAAAAAAAUAGAUUUGUUUUCAGCUUCUCUGUGUUGACCACUGUGGCCCACAUAGUCUCCACAGUGCCACAGGUGGAUGAUGACAUCUUAUCAGACUGUAUUAAGGGAAAACGAGGUCACAGAUAAGCUUCAUGAAAUACACUUCUUAUCUGAACGCACACAAAAUUACAGUCUGCCGACCAUUAUGUUCUCCGACAGACCAACAUGCUGCGUUUGUAUGCAGUGGUUUUGUCAGUGGAAUAUAGGUCAGACAUCAUCUGCUCUGCCGAUGUUAGAAACCGGCUUCGGGCUUUAUUGAUGCCAUGCUGGCUGCUGCUGUCAUAUGGGGCCAACCGCCACAUUUCACACUUGAAUGAGUUGGUACACUGUGUACAGCCAAACAUUGCAAGGGUUUAAAUUUAGCACAUUACGUUUGUGUAGAGUGUGGCUGUGACCCUUGAACUGUCACCAUAACACUUAUAUAAAUUUCUAUCAAGGAUGAUGGCUGAAAUAAAAUGCCAAAACCUGAGUGUGUUGCCUAUAGCAAAAAUGACUUUCAGUCAUUUUGAACAGAGAUUUCCUUCUUGAAUAAAAUAUGCACGAUUGAAAAAUUCUCAUUACUGAAUGUUUUGGUACAAGCUCAUAUGAAGGCUGCUGUUUUCUAUCCUCUGAAUUUUAAAGCCCCCGAAAAAUGUUUUCAAAUCUUAAAGCUGCACCAACAGAGAUUUUUAUUGCAAUAAUUGGUCCAAAUGAUGCUAUAUGAUGUAAAAAGGUUUUAUUAAUGUACCCAGAGAACAUUAUUUAUCGCUACCCCUCCAUGACUCUUUCAAAACAUGCUUGAUCCAGACUUUAGGCUUUUUUAGUUUGGCCUGAACCAAAGUUACAGAUAUGAAACCUUCCCCGGUAUGGAUUGCUCGAAGUGUAAAAACAUUUUGUGGGUUGUUCAGACUUUUGGGCUUAUCAAAAGAAGGAGACAGCAGGCUAUCAGAAAUCAGAAACAUCAGAAACAAAAAAAGAAAAAAAUGAGCCAUUCCUGGUAGCAUGUCAGGAGAAGAGAAAGAGACACUGUUUUUAUUUGAAAUAGAGUGCGAUGACAUAAAACUGGCCAAAACUCAUAAAAAUGCAAACACUUUCCAGGUAUUUUUGGGGAAAAUGAGAGAAAGGAUACAAGAGGACAACAGAGCAAUGACACAUAAAGAAAAGGAAACUGUGUCAGCAAUAUAUGAGUGUGCACAAUGUCAACCAAUGAGAAAGACAAACUGAAUAACAGAAUGGACACUGGUUUGCACUUCUCUAUGCAAUGAAAUUAAAUCAAAUAAAAAACAAAUCAUGUUCAUUUGGUUUACUUAACAAAUGAAUAUGUGUCUCUCAGUUUAACUAUUGUUUUUUCGUUUCUGUGUUUUGCACUUAUGACUGAACUUUACUAAUAGUGGCUGGAGGAGUCAAGUGACUGCAUACACUACCGUUCAAAAGUUUGGGGUCACAGAAAUAUCCUUAUUUUUGAAGGAAAAGCAGUUUUUUUUGAAUGAAGACAACAUUAAAUUAAUCAGAAACACAGUCUAGACAUUGCUAAUGUGGUAAAUGACUAUUCUAACUGGAAACUGUUGAUUUUUAAUGGAAUAUCUCCACAGGGGUACAGAGGAACAUUUCCAGAAACCAUCACUCCUGUGUUCUAAUGCUACAUUGUGUUAGCUAAUGGUGUUGAAAGGCUCAUUGAUGAUUAGAAAACCUGUGUGCAAUUAUAUUAGUACAUUAAUAAAAGUGUGCCUGGGUGUUUCGAUGCAAAUUUAAAAUACUGCUACAUGGAAGUUCAUGAACCCAGCCCAUACUAGACUUCCUGAAAACAUGCUACAUGAUUUGAAUCUCUAUAAGGAGGAAGUAGUAAAGAAGAUAAAAUGCCUUUUUUGGGAGCAUUGUUUUGUGUAGGAUUAAACCCAUAUUAUUAUUUAUUUAGCUAAGUGAUAUUGUCUAAGUGCAGAUAUGAUUUACAACUUUCAACCAAAGCCCAAAGUCUCAAGAAAGUACAUAAGUGAAAUCAGCAUUUAGUUGAACUGAGCUCAACACUGACUGACUUCUGUUGAGGUCACACCCUCCACUGCUGUGCAUUGUUUUCUAUUAUUAUUAUUAACAACAUAGAAGAAACAACCAGCCUGCCAAAAAUACAAGAGGUGUGAAAAUAAAAUUAACCAUAAGGCCAUUGGUUAGCAUUUAUUUUCUGUUAGUUCAUGUCAUGUAAGUGUAUCUUUGUUGAUAUGAAACUAUUUUUGUUAGUAGAGUAAUUUUGCUGUAGCUUAAUUAUAGAAGAGUCACCUAGAGAUCAAAAAGGUCAAGGUUUGAGGUCAACUGGAGAAAAUAUAUUUACCCAUAAAAGGUUUCUGUCUUUGAAAAGGUGACCCCAGGUUUAUUCUAUGGUAUGGACACUAUAAACCCACAACCUACUAAUGAUGAGCCAAUAGGAGAAGAGUUUGUGUUUCCUAUAAAUGCAGUUCCAUUGUACUUGGUCCUUGUGGGAGAGAGGAGUGAGGUCUCUCCUUCCAUGCUGAGUCAUUUCUUCUCCAUUGCAAAUAUGUAUUUUAAUUUUCUAUAUUGUUGACAAUAAUAAAUUUACAGACAACCCAGCAGUGUGUUUGUAUCUUAUCCUUUGGUAAAAUGAGUAAAAUGUCCCAACACUUGUUACUAAUAUAAUAGAAUAUUAACCCUGUACAUCCAGAUAAAACAAACUUUUGAUGAUUUGUAGCUUUGCUGAGCUCCUCCUGACACCUUCUAACAUCACUCAUGACUACAGUCUUCCUUCAGUGUCAGCUACUGUCCAUUAACUUGUAUAUGGCUUAGGCUGAACACAUUUGCAUGUUUUACAGCUUUCCGGGCACUCAUUUGUUUAAGUCCACUGUUUAUGUUUGGCUCCGUGUCAUAGCUGCAGAGAUGAUGCACACAUUUGGAUGAGGCUAUUUUAAAAAUAAUUUUAAGACGAAGGAGACACAUUUUUUAUGAGACGAUACCAGAAAUGUUUUCAGGUCUCAUUUUUUCUGGGUUUCAAGUGAAAAAGAGGAAAUUUGAAAACUAAAUUUGCCGCUGAUUGACUUUAACUUGGAUUCAGAUUCUGGGUUGGAGCUGCUUACUGUCCAAGGUUUGCUUCUCCUCAGCUUGAGGGCUCUCUUCUAUAGAAACGUCUGGAUUCACGUCUCUAAACCA